ensembl:lncRNA
GGCCAAACAAGUUUAGCAGCAGUGUCGAUCGUUCUGUGCCACAGUCCAACAGGACUGAGAUACCAAUGGUUAAACUAGCGAUAGAACAUACUGCUAUUGCUAAAUAGAAAUAACCAAGCACCUGCACUUUGGAGCAGGACUUGGGCUGGUCCUAGGACUUGGACUAGGAGAGGCUGGUGAAAGAAAGUUGUUUCUUCACUCAGCUGAUUCUGCUUACUGCUGAGGGUAACUUUACAGGUGAGCAAAGCUUGUGGGGUAGACAGAAAUGCCGAUCUAUUUUUGGGUUUGCUCCUUUGGGUACUACAUUUGAAUGCUUUGAUACUUUCCAGAACAAGCUUUGGGCCGGAAACACUUCAGCAACUUUUGUUUGACACACAAGCUCCAUGUGGGUCUCCUUGCACCAUGCUACUGCAAGCAGAAAUCCUGGGCAGAGUGGUGCAAAGAUGUCUGAGUGGCAGAAAGCAAAGCUAAAAUGGCUCUGCACUGAAAUUAACAAAUAGAAGAGCAGUUGGCUUCAAUACUUGAUGCUGACCUGAUGGUUUUAAGCUGCCAUUUAAAAAUAAGCAGAAGUGUAGUCAUUAAGGACAAAAUCUCUCCUUGGACAUAUGUAGAUGACUUAGCAAAAUCUGUGCUAACAGCUGAAACCCUAUUGCACUAUGAUUUUUUAAAACAGUUUAUCACACCCAUAAAGUCAACAUCUGCUUUGCUCUUCGAUGAAUGUACUCCAGGAGCUAUUUCAGACAAUUGUGGAGUUGCCUUGAGAGAUUGUUAUCUGGUAUUGUUUCUCUUGCAGUGAAGUAUGAUACUAUAGCAUGUGGAAAUCUACUGUUCAGUGUGUUUUCUGCCAGGAUUCAUCCCGCGUAAUGCUAGCUGCUUGGUCAGGCUGCCUGAAAUAGCAAAGUCUCACUCCUGGCUCCUGCUGUAGGUAUCUGAGCAGUCUUUGUUAUGUCCUUUUGUGCACCGCGACGUAUGACUGAUUCACUGCCAAGAUGCAUCCAUCCUUCAGACCCUGAACAAAGUCUCCCAGGCCAGUGACUGCUCCCAUGGGUAUCUGGGAGAUGUACCUGGACAAGGGUGGAGUCAAUCAGGGCCUUGCAGUUUCAGGUAGCCCCGUGCAACAAUGAGCAACAUUACAGCGGGAUGUAAUGGCCGUAAGUUUCUCUAGGGGAGGUUCAAGUUGGAUAUUAGGAAAAAUUUCUUCUCAGAAAGAGUGAUGAAGUAUUGGAAUGGGCUGCCCAGAGAGAUGGUGGAGUCACUGUUCCUGGAGGUGUUCAAGAAAAGGGUAAGUGUGGCACUGAGGGACAUGGUUUAGUGGGAAUGAUGGGGAUGGGUUGACUGUUGGACUAGAUGGUCUUAGUGGUAUUUCCAACCUUUACAAUCUAUGCUAGUGGCAGGUCUUACUUUGCUGUACUGCAGUCAUAUGGAAGAUGAGCAAGCUGUCUUCAUAUUGCUUGGGCUGUCAGGGUACAUCUACACAGCGGCUCAUCUUAUUUGUGAUGGACACUCUUCUGAAGAUAAGUAUCUUUGCCCUUUGAAGAUACUUGCCUCCCUUCACUGACCAAGAGGUUCGCGGGACAACUGAUUUGAACUACACAGCCAGUCUUUAGAUGACAAAUGGAAAGGUGAACGCACUCUCAAUGAGCAGAUAAACGUCCCUCUGGAAUGUUUCCUGAGACAUUACCACUGGUAGCUCUGGAUGAAGUCAUGCAUUUUAGGAAGGGAUCUGCAUGACAUAGCAGUCCAAAUGUAGCUGAGGAAGAUUGUCCUGUAUAGAAAAGAAAGCCCGAAUGCACUGUCCCUUCGGCUGUUUUGAUUUGUUUUGUUUUGUUUAGUUAAAGCAUCUGCCAGAAAAGACAAGUAAGUACAGAAAAGAACUUCUGUUUUUUUGGUGUACUUUUACAACCAUUCACUAGCCUAUUUUUUAAGUAUACCUGCAUGAAAAAGUGUAUUUCCACAGUAUGCUUCCUGCAGCACAUUCAUUUUUAUGUACCUUGUUGUUUGAUGGUUCAUUUCCCCUUGUCCUCCUAAAACAGUGUAACACACCUUUUAAAAUCAUCAUCAAAACUGAACUAAAAUCUGACUCUGGCUCAGACAAUUCCUAAUACUGUUUGUACUGAUGUAGUGUGUCACUUCAAGGCAAAAUCUUCUCCCCAUGUAAUAUUAUAUUGCUGAGAUACUUUCCCACAUAUGGCAGAUAACAAAGUGCUGAGAAGGCAUGAGACAGAAGAGAUCUAAUGGAAGGAAAUGCAGCAGAGUCCUCCUACAGAAAAUUACAGGCUUUUAAAUGUGACUUGCAGAGUAUUUUUUAAAUGUGUUUAUAUCCCAUUUGUGUUUCCUUGUGUUGCACAAAGAAAGCUUGAAACAUGCUAUUUUCUCAAAGCCAGUAACAAUUUCAAAAAGGAAGUGUCUUUUAAAGAGCAAAUGUCGUAUCUGCUGUGGACAACAGAACAGCUGUGAGAAACACAUACCCGGCUCAGAAACCCUUUGCCAACUGUUUGUGCUUCCAGCUCUCUCCUAACCACAACCAUUCAAGUAUAUGUUGUUCAGAGGGGGAGAGAGGCCCUGACAGUUAUGUAUAUAAAAUAGGCUAUAAUUUUGCAGCACAAUGAAGAGUGAAGAGAAAUAAUAUUUUUCACUAAGCAUCUCCUUGUUUUUCACAGGACUUAGCUCCAGGAAAGACCAUUAGUUAACUUCAUAUCCAAGCCUAUACCUUUGUAUAUCCUUUUAGAAACCAGGGAAAAACAAAGUGUGGGGAUGAAGGAAGACACAGAGACAGUUUUAAGUGACAAAUAGUGGGGUGGAACAGAAGGAGGCAGUGACAUGCAAUCCCCUUCUGGGACUUGCAAAGGAUUGCAGAUACGCGGUGGUCACACCUGCCAGCUCACCCAUGUGUCCUGGGGCUUGUUAAUGAGCCCUUUGCUAGAGAUGUAGCUCUCAUUCUGUCAAGAGCUGGAAAGCUUCAAUCCAUUUUCUUCAGUAGUGCGGCUCUCAGUCAUGAGUCACAUCACUCUAAGAAUAAAACUACAUCCAAGUUAACCCCUCCAUCACCUCCUAUGUCUUUUCAGAACCUUCACCAAGGAGGUUUUGGUUUACUGGAUCUUGAACAGCCAAAAUAUCAGAGGAUUAUUACUGCUUGGAGUUCACUUUAUUGUUGAGAUUGCCAUGUCAUCUUCUGAUCCGAGAAGCGGCGAACAUCACAAAAGCUGAAAAUGAAGUCUUUUCUGCUCUGUGGGGCACCUAUCCAAAAUGACUUGGCCUCCGGAGAUAAGCAAUAAGUAACGGAUACACUGAUUUAUUUUUCUUCGGUACUGAAACUAAGAACUGACAAUUCAAAUGCAGAGGUUAGAGGCUUGAUUCUUUAUCAUAUCAGUUUUGCACUGGAAUAACUGAUACGGUGAGGUAAAGAGGCAGGCCUGGUAUAUACCUGCCUUGUGUCAGAACUGCUUUAGCCAUUUCUGGUGAAAGAGUUUCCAAAGAGUCCCUGUAGAGUUGAGAUAAAACAGUAAUUAUUUAAUGCUGAAGGUUAUGAUAAUGUUAGAGAUUAAUGUCAGAGCUUAGGCUUUAAAUUAUUGCAUGUUAGGAUGACAAGGGUGUUUUUAGAAGUUUUUUUCUCGUUGGUACUCUGUACAGCAUCCCACUGAAACUGUUUUCAUCCACACUGUCUUCCCAUCCUGGUCUGUCCUGCAGCUGAGCGCACAGCAAGCCUCACUCAUCGUUUGGCAUAGGAUCCUGAUCACCUUCAGUGCAUACACUGCACACCUCUAGAUCAUAGAAUCAUAGAAUCAAAGAAUCCUUGGAGUUGGAAGGGACCUCUGAAGGCCAUCUAGUCAUCAACUCCCCUGCAAUGAACAGGGACAUCCACAGCUAGAUCACGUUGCCUAGGGCUUGAUCCAGUCUCUCUUUGAAAGUCUCCAUGGAUGGGGCAUCAACCACAUCUCUGGGCAACCUGUUCCAAUGCCUCACCACCCUCACUGUAAAAGACUUUUUCCUUAUAUCCAACUUAAAUCUACCCUCUUUGACCUUGAAACCAUUUCCUCUUGCUCCGUCACCACAGGCACUGCUUAAGAGUCUGCCACCUUCUUUCCCAUAGCCCCCCUUUAGAUACUAGAAGGCCACUAUCAGGUCACCUUGUAGCUUCUCUUCUCCAUGUUGAACAGUCCCAGUUCUCUCCACCUGUCCUCGUAGGAGAGGUGUUCCAUUCCAUGGAUCAUUUCUGUGAUCUUCCCUGGGAGCACUCCAACAGGUCUAUGUCUCUCCUGUACUGAGGACUCCACAUCUGGAUGCAAGAUAUGAAGAUCUUUCUUCUCCUCAGGAAUAAGUCUCUCCCUCCUUGGAGAUCACCAAAAACUGCCUGAAUGUGGUCCUGGGCACCCUGUUCUGGGCCCUUGCCUACCAACAUCCACCAUUCCACGAAUAAAGGGCCUUGGUUGUAGCUCUGUGAUGACAGUACUGAAAUGCGUCCAUCCCCUGUGAUAAACAGCAGAUUCAUGAACUUUGGGAUUUCCAACUUGGCCACUGAAUAGGUUUUCUGUGUGUGGUAUUGAGUGUCAGCUAGGGGUGGGGUAUAGAAAAGUCACACCAAUAGUCUACCAAACCGUCUCUAUGCACAGCCUUGAUGGAGAAUGUUUUGUGUCAUGUCACUUCAGCUAUACUGGAAGAAACAAUUUUUUUUUACAUUUGCUGUGCUUCUACUAGAAGCCUCUGUUAGCAUAACUAAUGACAAAACCAUUUCAGUGGUGAUGGGCAGCAAAACAACGUACUGCGGGACAAGUGGUUCUAAAUUUAUCCAAUAAUCAAAAACAUCAAAAUCACUAGAUACCAAUACCUAUACAUUAUCCGCUAUCCUGUUAUUUUGUCCAGUCCUGCACUGCUCUACUCAGUCCUUCCUCCAGGGCUGUUAGGGUUGCUGCAGUGCCUCUGCCUUCCAGGUUACCCACCUUCCAGGUUACAGGUGGGAUGCAAUUGAAGGGAUCCUCUACCUCUCCAUUUUCCUCUUCCCUCUUCCCUCUCCCACUGAGACUUUAGGAUCCUAAGACUGAAAAUUAUAUUCGUACACCCCACAAAAAGGAUGCGGUUAGAAAUUAGUAUUUUUUAAAAGUACGAAGCUAGACAUAAAUAGAAUUCCAGCAAUUUUAAAAUAAAUGAAAUGUAAAUCCCUAAAUGCCAUUUGUUCUCUCUGGAUGUAUUUCUUUGCGUUUGUAAAAAGAUCAUGUACACGGUUUUGUCAUUUAACUGCUAGUUAAAUGUGCCAGAAAAAGAAAGCUGAAGAAUUAAAUUUCAUUAUAAUUAACAGAACAAAUAUAAUUAGAAUUUUAGUAGUGCAAGUUGCCAUGCUCCUUCAGGUGUCCUGGUAGUAUUUUGAGUUAGAUAACUUUUCAACUCUUCGUUUCUUAGCUGCUGAGGAGCUGCUCCCACACACCGCGGAUGUGUCCAAACACGCUGUCUUUGCCAUGCAAGAAUGAAUUCACAAGGACUUGUAAUUGUAUCAGAACUGAUUUUAUGCCAAACAGCCAACCAUUAUUAAUGACUUCGAGUCAUUACAGUCCAACAUGGAUAUGUCCUGGAUUUCUGGUGCCUGGGAUAUUUUCCAGCUCAAAUUAAUGGUUUCUGAGUGAUGCGAAAAACUGAAGGUUUGUGAGUUGCUGUAUGCAAUCCAUGUUCUUUUCUAUACACUUCUGAUUCAUCUCCGAUGCUGUGUCUUUUCAUCUUUCUCAGUGAUACAUGCUUUUGAUUUUCGAGUAUCUUGGGCCAAAACUCAUCAGUCAGAUUUUAUCAUCCUCUUAUACUCCCUUUAACUCUUCCCAUAGUGAAGAUUUCAAAAGCAAUCUAGAAAUUCUCUCAAUAUCUACAUGAGAGCCAGGAGUAGGAAAUUUAUAUCUUUCUGUAUUUCUCCUCAGGACGGAGUAGAGUAGACAAACGUUUCCUGGAAAGGGAUUCUUUUUGACCAGAAAUUUGAGUAAAUUUCUCAUCUCUUACAAGAUACGAGUGGAUUUGAGUUGUAAGAAAGUCACAUUAUUUGUCAUCAGAUCUACUGGUGUAUAGAUUUGAGUAGACUCUCUAAAUGUUUCUUCAACCCACUGUAGGCUGUCUCCGUAUUUAAACCACAAAGGGUGUAUAAUCUUUGAAAAAAGGUUGAAAGCAUCUUCCUACUGUGACAUUUUUAUGUAGAAAGCUGACUGCUGUGGGGCUGAGUCUGUGUUGGAAAAAAGUCAUUUUCAAAGAAGAUAAAAUUCAGACUUUUACUUUCAGUGAUUUGAAUGGUGAACUCUUUGAAAUUAUGUUUCUUGUUUCUCAUCUUUAACAAGACUGACCAGCAAAUGGUUCUGUAAACAAAUGAUUGCCCUAUUAAAUGAAAUUUAUUAUGCUAAGGCAUACAACGGUGAGUGAACUUUUUUACUUUUUUUUUAAUCCUCAUUAUUAUUUAUUAUUUGGUAUUUUUCUACAAAAGGAGGAGAGAACAAUAUAUUCAGAAAGCACUUUUCAUACUUUUUUGUCUUGCUCACCUGCAGGAAUGUUGGCUGUAAUACACAGGCAGGCCCAGAGGAGGGCUGUGAAGAUGACCAGAGGGCUGAAGCACCUCUCCUAUGAAGGAUGGCUGAGGGAGCUGGGCUCCUUUAGCUUGGAGAAAAGAAGGCUCCAGGGAGACAUCACUGCUGCCUUCCAGUACAUGAAGGGAGCUUACAAGCAGGAGGGGGACUGACUUUUUAUGUGGUCUGAUAGUGAUAGAACAAGAAGGAAUGGUUUUAAACUAAAAGAGGGGAAAUUUAGGUCGUAUCUUAGAAAGAAAUUCUUUACUCAGAGGGCAGUGAGGCACUGGCACAGCUGCCCAGAGAAGCUGUGGGUGCCCCAUCCCUGAAGGUGUUCAAGGCCAGGUUGGAUGGGGCCCUGGGCAGCCUGAUCCAGUUGGUGGCAGCCCUGCCCAGGGCAGGGAUUGGAAGUAGGUGUACUUUUAUGCCCCCUCCAACCUAAGCCAUUCUACGAUUCGAUGAUACAAGAGUGUAUGGGAACAAUUAGGUCACAGCCUGAACUGAUGAUUGAGCAGCUGGUGAAGGAGCAUAGACAGACCUGGGAGCACAGGUGCAAGCAAUUCACCUGAGUGACCGAAAGUGGUGGACUCUGGGUCCCCACCUCCCUAAUCUCACUUAAGUGCUGGCAGCCAAAGGAGAAGCAUCUCUACUUCGACAUUACUUCUUUUGGGAGUUUUCCCUGCAAACCCUUAUCCUUGGAAAAGGGUAAACUGUUCCUUUUUUGUUACUGAAUUAUGAUCAAUACCUUUCUUGGAUGACCUGAAAAUUGUUUAAUGGCAGCUAUAUCCUCUACCUUAUACAAUACAAAGGGUAUAUUUUUUUCUUGUUUAUAGGAAGAGUGCUCUGCCUGGGCUCCUUUACCGUGGCUAUUUAAUGGCUGAAAAACUGAAAAAAGAACUAUGUUUUCUUCACAAGCUGCGACCUUCCUAAAGUAAUCAUCUAGCACAAGUUUGCCUCCUGGACUAUUCCAGAAAUUGAUCUUCCAGUAACUGAGAGAACUCAAAAAUACCCAAUGCUGAUGUGGCUUCAGUAGUCAUUGUGGUCUCUUCCUCAGAAGAAAGUCUGAAAAUAGGGGUCCCCACAGGGUUUUGUUCUGUAGUUUACAGAGGCUAUAAAUAUAUUAAUCAACCCUAAUGAUUCUCCAGAAUAUAUUCACUUCAAUACUAAUGGCUAGAUUGCCCCAUAAUGAAGAGAGAUUUUAUGAUAUUUUUGUCUAGUUCUAUUGCACUUUUAGUGGCUGGAGAGAUUCCAUUUAAGUUAAUCUCGUGUCUCUCCUUCAGGAAGCAAGGUCAUGUCCAGUAUCAGUUAAAUAUAUGGCACUACGCCUAUCAAGACUUUUGGAUCUUGCAGUUCCAGGGGCAGAUUUCAACACACGCAGUCCUUUACUAAUAUUAAAUAGCAAAAUUGCCUUAAGGAUCAUUAAAACCGUUGUGAUUUUUUUGUGCAUCUGCUGUUUGUCUCUCAGUGGAAUCUGACCUCUCCUUGCUUUGUGUGCCUUGAAGGGUAAGACUUCUUUGAUGUUCUCUCUCUGUAUUCACUCUUCAGUGCAGUCCCUACUGCUCCUGGAACAGCUGUUCCUCUGCUGCUCAAUCUCAGUUCUUUGGCUUCUUUCACCCUGUCUGUAAACAUGGCUGUAUGUUCCAAAUAAGCUUUCCAACACUCAUUCUCUGCUAGCAUUUAUCAGACCUUAUUAGUUAGUGUUAGUAUUUCCAAGUCCAGUUUGCCAAUGGUCUUUCCUAGCCAAGUGGGCUUCUUUCUAUUCACAUCCUCCUUAAAGCUGCUUUAGGACCACUGGCACUUCACAUCUCCACCGUAUCCUUCAGUGAGCCUGCAUUCCUGCUUUCUGCUUUUACCUCCUGAACCUCCUUGUUCCCUUCAGCACCUCCUCUGGCAGAUCCUCCCACUCCCUCUCCACUGUCUGUUGGCACCCUUCAGAUUUUCACCCUCGGUCCUCCUCCCUUCAUCUUUGUAGUACCUAUUUUGGCUAACUCGUCCUCCCCAUCAGUUUCUGUUACUUAUAACUCUUUUCCUCCUGUUGUGAAUUUGUUGCUUCUUUGAUAUUGCACUGCCAUCCUAAACUCUCUUUUGAUGGGGCUUUCUUAGCUAUCUCAAGUACGCUCUUUUCUCCCGCUUUAAGUUAUUGUACCAUCUUCUUGUCUUGCAGCUCUAAUGUCAGUGUUGAUUUCUCAUUCUCUCCUUAUGUCUCUAUCUACACAGUUAUUAAAUCAGAUUUUAUUCCAUAUGACAUUAGCUAGUCUAUCCGUGGCAGUUUGUCUUCAUUGCUUCAGUACUUGUCCAUUUUUGCUCUCAUUUCCAAGCAUCUUUUUGCUAUUUUCUAAAACAAAUUAGCUAUGCAUAUGUUCACUCUUUUCUAACCAUAUCUCCCUUUAAUCCAAAUCAUUUCACCUGCUUCCUCAGUCUUACUACAUAAUCCCUUUUAAUGCUUUGGAUAACCUCUCUCCCCGAACCUCUUUGAAUUUACCUACAACCUUUUUUUUUUUUUUUUUUUUUCCCUGCCAAGGUCCUCAUUUCAUUGUCAUUUUUUUACAGGCUUCCUGCAGUCUAGAGAGGAGGUAAUUCACUUCAUUUUGGCUUUUUAUCCUAUUUCUGUCAUUAGCAAACUAAUUAAUGAUACCUAACACCAGCAUGUGUGCUGGAGAGACUACAGUAAUGAGGUGAGACUUCCAAAAUGAACUUAUGUCCCUCCAAUUCAACACUGAUUUGUCGUUCUCUGGAAGUCUCGUAUCGGUGUUCAUAAUCUGUGAUUGGCAUCCUUUUGUGUCAGCAGCCCAGCAAGGUGGAGAGCAAAAAGGAGAAAGGGAAAGAACUUUUCUGCAUUUCCUAAGAGUGGAUUGAGUUAGAUGAAGGAAUACUCUCAUCCUAUUAUGAAAAAAAUCAAGCACUCCCCUGCAGGAGACAGCUGGGAACACUAAAAUAGUGCAAUGGGAACAUGUAGACAGCAUUUUAGCCCUGAAAUAAGCAGUGUGGCAAGUGUUGUCUUUGUCUUUUUAUGUACUGUUUUAUAGGACUGUCCUUCAUUUUGUCUUACAGCAGUAAUGUUUGUGGCACUUCAACAAAAACGGCUUUUGCAGUUAUUAAAAUGCUGAGGUGUUUACUCUCAAAUUCUUUGUUGCAGCGAUUUGUUUCUCUUGGGCACCAAUCUUUACAGAGGUGCGUCAACAAAAUUCCACGGUACUUCCUUAAUUCUGUCACUUUCUGAUUCUAAUUGCUCAGGUUGGUGCAGUAUCCUCCUGCAGACAAAGUCCCCGCUGCGUUCUUAAAGACAGUGAUGUAGCACCUUUGGUGGGCGUCUGCUGACAGCCUCAGAGGAUGGAGUUGAGGUCACUGCCCCAGUACAUGCACUGUGCGGACCUCCCGAUGUUGUCUUACCUCUCUUUGAAUGGCAAAUACUGCCACCGGCGGACAAUGCGGCGGUUAUCGGAGCGAAAGGGGCAGAACAACCUGUAGCACUGUCUGUCUCAGGAUCUUGGAGGUGCACUCUCAGAGUCACCGGCUUGCCAGAACUCUCCUGGAUUUACACACAGAAAUGCGGAGACAGAGAAAUGAAAACGAACUGUCAGCUGCUUCUGAAUCCAGAGCGCUGAAUGUUGCCGUGAGCCCAAAAUAACAAACUGUGUUUCAAGGCACAGACCCUGAAGACGAAGCACGCAUUCCUGAAAUGGUUCUGACAGCGGCGUUACGGAUAAGCUGCACGAGCUUCUUGAUCCGAUCCGGUAGCAGAACACAUGGCAUUGUUUGGAAAUCACAGACGUGUUCUAGAGAGGGUGGAGGGAAAAGAGAUGUCUGUAUCAGAGUUGGCAGUUGCACUUGUCUUUGUGGGAGAACAGGUUGCCUACAGAAUAGUGUAAGAAAGGGUCUUUUCUCUCUCUGAAGUUAUUCUUCAAUAAUUUAAUUUUGUACAUUUAGGUCCCUUCGCUGUAAGAAAGACAUUGAGGCCCUGGAGUGUGUCCAGAGAAGGGCAACAAAGCUGGUGAGGGGUCUGGAGCACAGGCCUUAUGAGGAGCGGCUGAAGGAGCUGGGAUUGUUCAGUCUGGAGAAGAGGAGGCUCAGGGGAGACGUUAUUGCUCUCUAUAACUACCUGAAGUUGUAGUGAGCUGGGGGUCAGCCUCUUCUCCUGUGUAACUAGUGAUAGGACUAGAGGGAAUGGCUUCAAGCUGUGCAAGGGAAGGUUCAGGCUGGAUGUUAGGAAAUAAUACCCCUCUGAAAGGGUGGUCAGACACUGGAAUGGGCUGCCCAGAGAGGUGGUGGCGUCACCGAGCCUGGUGGUGUUCAAAGAACAUUUGGACAUUGUGUUGAGGGACAUGGUUUAGUGAGAACCAUUGGUGAUGGGUGAAUGGUUGGACUGGAUGAUCCUGUGGGUCUUUUCCAACCUUUGUGAUUCUAUGAUUCUAUGAUUUUUUAGUCCUUAUUUUUGCCUUCAAGUGUCUCUCCCCGUUUCACCAGAACACCUGUCACUGCUUGGAUUUAAUGCUUUGUAACUCGCUUUGAAGAUCCACAAAUGACACUGAUGCCAUGCAGCAUUUUAGCUUUCCUUCCUAGAUUCUAACAGCUAAAGAAUCUGAGGAUGAUUCAUAAACACAGAAAUGUGUAGGUAAUAAAAAUCAGUGCAUAUAAAAUGUAUGUAACUAUAAAAUUUAACUUCUAGCUAUAAAAACUAAUAUCUACAGGCAGAGGAGAAGCACUUAUUAACCCUCUUACUGUAUUCAGGGCUUUUAAGGAGGUUUGUGGAAUGAACAAAUUUUACACUCAUUUUGGUAAAUGUGCCAAGGAAAGACCAUAUGGUGUUCUGCAGGCAUAAAAUCUAUUAUAAACUCCGUAUCCACUUCUCAGCUACUUUCUCAGAGCAGACAAUGAGGACCCGCAGGCGGUUUGUUACUUGGGAUUCAUGCAUGCUCCACACUCCUGGGCUCCUCCUGCAGAUCUCCACGCUUCUGGAGAGGUGUGAGAAAGCUGUACCUUGUGAUCCAGUACUCACGUUAACUGUUGUCCCCUGACAGUGUGCCUUCUGCAUCUUCCUGGGAAAACACAGUUCUGAGGCAGGGCAGGUUUUAAUGCAUGGAGCAAGACACGAUGCUAAAAUUCCCAUGGUUAGAGAAAGCUGUGAGUGGGUUUGGAGGAUGUUUGUCCCAAGCUGCCCUUGGUCACUCAGUGCACCCUAUUACUGCUCCAGAUUUGGGGGAAGAUGGAAAGCAGAGAGUGUUAUGCUUCAAACAGUGUUAUGGGCAAAAGGGAAACACAUUUGAAUCCCAUGAUUUCUUGUUAGCGUGAUUUAAAUCUGUCUUAGUUUCAGCUGGGAUGGAAUUGUUUUCUUCAGAGUGUCUGGCAUGAUGCUGUGUUUUGGUUCCAGGAGAAAAACAAUGUUGAUAACACACCGAUGUUUAUAGUUGCUGCUAAGCAGUGCUGCAGAGAGCCAAGGCUGUUCUCAGUGAAGGGCCCAAGGAGCUGGGAGAGGUCAGAAUUAGGACAGCUGACUUAAAUCGGCCAAAGACAUAUUCCAUAACACAUGACAUCAAACAGAAGGACUUUUGAAGGGGGUGGGAGUUCAUCUCACUUUGUUUCGCUGCUUGGAGGCUAGCUGGGGUUGGACAGGGAGUAGUGAGCAAUUGCUUGUGCAUCACUUUUUAUAUAUAUUCAUACCUAUAUAGUCAUCAUUAUUAUCCUUUUUCUCUGUCUUAGUAAAUAGUUGCAUUUCAACCCAUGAAUUCCACUUUUUUCCCCCUGAUUUACUCCUCCAUCCCACUGGGAAGGGAGGAGUGAGCAAAAGACUGCGUGGUGCUGAGCCACCUGCCAGGUUAAGCCAUGACACAAUCCUACCGCUCAGGUGCAGAAUCAGAUCUACCUACCCACUGCAGAAAAAGAAAUAAAACAAAGAAAUGAAUACUGCCAUGCAAGAAAGGUCUCAGUAGCCUUAACAAUACAGCUAAACGUUUUGCAAACACCUUUCUCAAUUUCUACCCCUUUUCCCAUUCUUAUCCUCACCUUUCCUCUUGGGCUUUGGGCUGGUGCAGAGCAGGUACAGCCACACCAGUCUCCUGCUGGGAGGAACACGGCUCCCAUGGCUCCUUCUUCCUCAUGCUUAGAAUCUGCAUAGGGGUCAUUUUUGUGUGGUUGCUAACACACAUCCACACCUUGCUCUUUUUAAACCUAAUUCAACUCUGUCAGUCCAUAAUGCAUCCAAAUUUACUCAAAAAGUGGUGCACGUUAGGUAUGUUUAAUACUUGUUCUUUAUUUCCCUUGUUGCUCCUGAAGGUGUUUCUGUCCAGAUGCAGCAUUUAUCUAACAGGCAGUGGGUGAACUGAUUAUAGCUGGUGGGUCUCCAGCACCAGCCUGCCCUCCAUCCCUUCUCAUCCCUUGCCUCUCUCCUCUUCACUGCACCCCAUUCACCACUUCUCAGGAGCUUUGUUAUCAUACCAACCCUGUCGUUCUCUAUACUUCAUCAUUACGUUAGUCACAAAUAUCUCAUUCUCCAUGGAGUAACUGCUUGUUACAACUGUCCGUAUAAAACUAUGCUAAUGCCAUACAAGAUGAAACAAAGCAAAAUGUAGGAAACUAAAUAAAAGCAAAACUCUGAGCAGGUCAAGACAGCCUGACAAACUGCUCCUGAGCCCUGCAGACUGCAAGCACUGUGACCAUUGCUCCAAUGGCAUCGCCCUGUUGCUGGUAUGAGGGAGCCUGCUCUGGGGGUCUUGCUCAUCACUUUACAUCACUGGGAGCUGUGUGCUGGCUGGUUUGCCCUGUUUUCCUCCCUGUCUGCGUGUGGCAGCUGGAAGAAGCAGGCAAGCCAAAAAAGUCAUAUUCUGCAACCCUUCUGUAUUUUCUGUGUAAAUGACUGUGAGUUUUAUUUCAGCCUGGCAAUGGCAGCAUUGAUGGGAGAAGCUAACAAGCAAUUUACUUCAAUGAGGACGUACUUGAGGCCCAAUUUGUUUCUGACUGAUGACAGCAGUAGUCUACCACUGGCUUCAAAGAAAGCUCGAUGAGCAUUACUCAGUGGCAGUAAUGCUGCAUCUCCUAUAGUCUGCAAUUGAAGUAGAAGAGAUACUGCAAUCUCUGUAAUUGCUUCACUGUGUAAAAAAGCUUUUGUCUUUGUAACAGGCUUUGUUUUAAUAUGAGCUAGAAGGCAUAUAAGAGUAUCUUCUGUAAUAAAAAUAGCUGUUGAUUCUUACUUCACGGGAAAGUCAGCACUGAAAAGAGAACAGGGAAAAUGUGCUUAUUUACAUAGGAGAAACUUAAAAGAAUGUUUUCAAUACCUUUCAUAAAUCAUACAUCUGAAAACUGAGAAUGGCAGUCUGUUUAGAAAUGCAAAUUUCAUAAUAAUAAAGCUGGUGAUGAUUGGAUAGCAAAAUUAAUAGGAUAAAGAAAAACCCAGCAUUAUAAUCUGUGCAGUUGAACUCCAAUGUCUUCAGUGGGGAUCUUAUUGAUGCAAGUUCCAUUCUUAAUUAAGGAGUUUAAUAUGACUUCUGAAUUUUUACUAGGCACUUUCAAAUGGUGCAUUCAUUGAGGUCUCUGUCUUUACUGGAUGGAUGUGUAGAUGUCAGCACAGCAGAUUGGUCUCAUGGCACUGUGGUCGCUUACAUUCAUCGUUACAGCAUUUGGGGGCUGCAGCUGCCGAUACGCACAGGGUGACCUUCCUGUUUCCGAAUGCUAUUAAGUCCUAAUGGCAGGAGACCUCUGCAUCCUGAGGGAAGGAUUUAAACCACCGAAACUGCGCCGGCUGGCAGAACAGAAUUUACCAGCCCUUGGAGGAAGGCUAGAUGGAAUCUGAACAACCUCUGGGUCAGCCUGUGGCAGCAGAGGAUCCCUCCUCCCAUGGAAGAGGUGUUCGUACCGCUCAGGUGCCGCAGUGCUGCGCCGGCAGUCCCACCACAGCCCCCAGCAGAGGCACCUGGCAGGGCUGCCUCCAGCCCAGCUCAACAACACGAGCUGAACGAGCCCAAGUGCUUUCUGAAAGCACAGCUGUGCCCAGAUCGGGGCAGUUCCUGGCAUCACUAGGUGCGAUUUUUCCAUGCUCAUAGCCAGCAUAGUUACGCCUCUGAAACUUUGUAGUAGAGACCUGGCUGGAAUCCUUCAGAUCCUCGCUCUCAGCCUUGGCAAAGCAAGCCCUCUAACUCUGUUGGAGCCAAGGCAGCUCAGCUCUUCCCAUUUAACAGUCCAGACCUUGUUCUUUCAGUGACCAGAAAAGUUGUUCCUGCGGGAAUGGCUUAUCUCUCUGUUCACUGCUUCAUAUCCUGCCUAAAACACUACUAUGGGAUGUAUGGCUGCUCUACUGGAUGCCAAUAUCCAUCCUGUGCUUUUGGAAAGGCAAUUCAAAUUCUGUGCACAGGCUUCUGGCAUGCUGAAAGCUUUUGGUUGCCUGUGUCCAAAGGGCUUACUUGUACAUGUGUGCAGUGCUGGGUUAGCUGGCAGAAAAUAUCACAUUUCCAAACCCUCUGCAAGGAAUCAGUGCUGAAGUUCUGCCUCCCUGAUCUUGUAUUGAUGUUUCCUUUGCUAAUGGCAUGUUAGAACACAAGUUUUAUUUACCCAGGAUAAUAUUUCAUUUUGUCCAUGUGCUGAGGUGAUAAAGUACUUAAAUACAUUGGAUGAUCUUUUCCUAAUGCCAUUUGGUGUGUUUAUGUUGUGUUGCCAUUUUUUAGAGAUAAAAAGAGGCUGAAAGAGCACCAGAGCAUGGAAGAGAUACUUAUGAGUGUUGGGCCAUCAUCAGAGGAAAAAAGAGAGACAAAUAUGAAAAAGAAUGAGUGCUGUGUUUAGUACUUUCUUCUCAUCCUUCACACGGGCAUUUCUGGAAGAGUUCUGGUGUGAUACAGUGUGGUUAAGAUAAGCAGUGGCUGCAAAAGUGCAUAAAAAGUUAGAGAUGACCGACUGCGAUUUUUGCCCAGCCACCUCACAGUGGUGCUUCUCUUAGUGGUCCCUCAUUCAUUUGGACAAAGUAUCUUAGCACGAUAGGAUGUGAAACUUGGCCAUGAGGGGAGGUACACAGAUAAUUUGCUGGUUCUUUCAGCACUUGGAGAAGUUGAUUAUCAUCUGAGAAAGAUUCUCAAAUAUUGUUGAGUGCUGGUUCAAAUGCGACAUAUAAAUGAAGUGAGUUGGGGCUGUCUGCUGAUAUCCUCUAAAGCUACACAGCAGUGCUUCUACAAGAAGUAAGUGCCAGGCAAAGAAACCUGACUUACACAAGUGCAACGUUAUGGACGUGAAAACAAUCAAUGUCCAGAAUGAAAGGAGGCCAGAGAAAUAGUGGGACUCCCAUCACCCCUGUUCUAUUUUAAGGAAUGGUUGCUAGAUAAUGCCAUUCAUGGAGAGUGAAGAUGAAUGUUCUCCCAGUGAUACUUUACAAUAUUUUCAGUGGUAUAUUUGCUCAGCUUUGUAAAAUCCUGAUACAAGGGAACAAGUAAUAUGCAUCAAGUUUAUCGAAGCUCAUUAAUUUGAUGAAAUAUAUUGGAAGGAUUGAUUUAUUCACAAUAUUAAACAGCUACUUACGUGAAACUCUGCUUUCUGACUGGUAACGUGAGAACACACAUUGGUUGCUUGCUAUUUUGUUAAUACUUUCACAAAACCACAUCAGCCUCUUUGUUUUUCUGCUGUUUCUCACAGUUCAGCAGACAGCAACAUGCACUUAACAAAAAUAGAGAGGCUUAGAGACAUGUGCAAGAGACAGCUUCAGAAAAACUCUCAAGACAUGCUAAUCAUCUCUAAGAAGAAAAUAUGUUAUUGGCCUAGUAACCAAGGAACAGACAAAGCUUCCAGGAGAUAUGCAGACUUUAAAACAAUCUGCAGUAUAAUUCCACAUAAAUGGCACCAAAACAAUCUCCAAGGGAGUUGCUGCAUCAUUUUGUCACAGCUCAGCACAACACUUGGUCACUAAAUGAUGCAGCUCUUUGAUAUCUCAUUCCCAUUUUGGUUUGCUUAGGCAAAUCCAGAUGAUCUCUGCCCUGUGCAUCAGUGGAUGCUACAAUCAUUAUGGCUGUGCUCAGGCCCCCAUUCCACAGGAAGAACCACUGGAAUUGUUUACUAUGGAGAAAAGGAGGCUGAAGGGAGACCUUAUUGCUCUCUUCCAGUACCUGAAAGGUGAUUGCAGUGGGAGCAGGGCUGGUCUCUUCUCACUGGUGACAGGACGAGGGGAAAUGGCCCCAAGUUGCACCAGGGGAGGUUUAGGUUGGAUAUCAGGAAAAACUUCUCUACUGAAAGGGCUGUUAAGCACAGGAAUAGGCUCCCCAGGGAGGUGGUUGAGUCACCAUCCCUGAAUGUGUUUAAAAACCAUCUGGAUGUGGUGCUCAGAGAUAUGAUUUAGUGGAGGGUUGUUAGAGUUAGGGUAGCAUGAUUAGGCUGUGGUUGGACUUGAUGAUCUUUAAGGUCUUUUCCAACCUGAGCAAUUCUACGGUUCUAUGAUUCUAUGAUUCCUGCUCUGGUCUUGGCCAGCACAGAUCACUAACUCCAACCCCUGGCACCUGCACCAUCCCACCAUUCCUUCUGCAGAUGUGAAAUUCAGCAUGAGCAAAACUCACCCAGGUCUAGGUCAUAACAAGCCCUAGGUUAGAAAAACGUGGUGUUGUCAAUUUUAGUUGGUGUUUUGACUAAAUAUGCAAGGAUUAAUGGUACAAGUGGUUAUUCCAGCAUAUCUGAGAGGCCGUAUCCUCUGGAAAGGUGAACAAACAGCAUGACAGUGGCGGUGGGCUGCCUGGCAUGGGGUGGGUUCUUGUUCAAAUAGCGUCCUCCUCUCACCAAGCAAUAUCUGCCCGUGGUCUAAUAUUGAGUUAAACUGUUCUUACCUUAAAUAAAUGAAAGAUGUCUUAGUGCUUCAUUAUUGCAUAU